rnacentral:rRNA from 1 species
AGUANCGGCGAGUGAGCGGCAACAGCUCAAAUUUGAAAUCUGGCCUCUUCGGGGCCCGAGUUGUAAUUUGUAGAGGAUGUUUCGGGUACCGCCUCGGUUUAAAUUUCUUGGAACAGAAUGUCAGAGAGGGUGAGAAUCCCGUCUUGGACCGGCGGUAGGGCCCAUGUGAAACUCCUUCGACGAGUCGAGUUGUUUGGGAAUGCAGCUCAAAAUGGGUGGUAAAUUUCAUCUAAAGCUAAAUAUUGGCCAGAGACCGAUAGCGCACAAGUAGAGUGAUCGAAAGAUGAAAAGAACUUUGAAAAGAGAGUUAAACAGUAUGUGAAAUUGUUGAAAGGGAAGCGCUUGCAACCAGACUUGAGCGCGGCGGUUCCCCCUUCCUUCUGGUUGGGUUACUCCGCCGUGUCCAGGCCAACAUCGGUUCUGGGGGUCGGUUAAAGGCCCGGGGAAUGUACCUACUCCUUCGGGGGUAGACUUAUAGCCCCGGGUGUCAUGCGACCACCUGGGACCGAGGAACGCGCUUCGGCUCGGAUGUUGGCGUAAUGGUUGUCAGCGACCCGUCUUAAC